UGGGGAAUAUUGCACAAUGGGCGAAAGCCUGAUGCAGCGACGCCGCGUGAGGGAUGACGGCCUUCGGGUUGUAAACCUCUUUCAGCAGGGACGAAGCGCAAGUGACGGUACCUGCAGAAGAAGCACCGGCUAACCACGUGCCAGCAGCCGCGGUAAUACGUAGGGUGCAAGCGUUGUCCGGAAUUACUGGGCGUAAAGAGUUCGUAGGCGGUUUGUCGCGUCGUUUGUGAAAACCAGCAGCUCAACUGCUGGCUUGCAGGCGAUACGGGCAGACUUGAGUACUGCAGGGGAGACUGGAAUUCCUGGUGUAGCGGUGAAAUGCGCAGAUAUCAGGAGGAACACCGGUGGCGAAGGCGGGUCUCUGGGCAGUAACUGACGCUGAGGAACGAAAGCGUGGGUAGCGAACAGG
rnacentral:rRNA from 2 species